rnacentral:rRNA from 1 species
AGCGAACGCUGGCGGCAGGCUUAACACAUGCAAGUCGAGGGGGAUCAGUUGGGUAGCAAUACCUGGCUGUGAGACCGGCAAACGGGUGAGGAACACGUACGCAACUUUCCCAAAACUGGUGAAUAGCCCUCCGAAAGGAGGAUUAAUACACCGUAACAUAUAGAGGUGGCAUCGCCUUUAUAUUAUAGCUCCGGCGGUUUUGGAUGGGCGUGCGCCUGAUUAGGUAGUUGGUGUGGUAACGGCUCACCAAGCCUACGAUCAGUAACUGGUGUGAGAGCACGACCAGUCACACGGGCACUGAGACACGGGCCCGACUCCUACGGGAGGCAGCAGUAAGGAAUAUUGGUCAAUGGACGAAAGUCUGAACCAGCCAUGCCGCGUGAAGGAUGACGGCCCUCUGGGUUGUAAACUUCUUUUGGAUGGGGCAAAAAACGGGUUUAUCCUGGACUGACGGUACCAUCAGAAUAAGCACCGGCUAACUCCGUGCCAGCAGCCGCG